GUUUGAUCCUGGCUCAGGAUGAACGCUGGCGGCGUGCCUAACACAUGCAAGUCGAACGAAGCACCUUUUAAGAUUCUUCGGAUGAUCGAUCGGUGACUGAGUGGCGGACGGGUGAGUAACGCGUGGGUAACCUGCCCUGUACAGGGGGAUAACAGCUGGAAACGGCUGCUAAUACCGCAUAAGCGCACGAGGAGACAUCUCCUUGUGUGAAAAACUCCGGUGGUACAGGAUGGGCCCGCGUCUGAUUAGCUGGUUGGCAGGGUAACGGCCUACCAAGGCAACGAUCAGUAGCCGGUCUGAGAGGAUGAACGGCCACAUUGGAACUGAGACACGGUCCAAACUCCUACGGGAGGCAGCAGUGGGGAAUAUUGCACAAUGGGGGAAACCCUGAUGCAGCAACGCCGCGUGAGUGAAGAAGUAUUUCGGUAUGUAAAGCUCUAUCAGCAGGGAAGAUAAUGACGGUACCUGACUAAGAAGCUCCGGCUAAAUACGUGCCAGCAGCCGCGGUAAUACGUAUGGAGCAAGCGUUAUCCGGAUUUACUGGGUGUAAAGGGUGCGUAGGUGGCAGUGCAAGUCAGAUGUGAAAGGCCGGGGCUCAACCCCGGAGCUGCAUUUGAAACUGCUCGGCUAGA
rnacentral:rRNA from 1 species